CCCAUGUCUCUCAGUGUGCCUAGUGUCCCCAUGUGUCCCAGUGUCCCCAUGUCUAUGUCCACAACUGUCCCCAUGUCUCCCCAAGUGUCUGUCUCCCAGCCAGUGUCCCCUAGUCUCCCAGUAUCCCCUAGUCUCCCAGUAUCCCCUAGUCUCCCAGUGUCCCCUAGUCUCCCAGUGUCUGUGUCCCUAGUGUCUUAGUGUCCCCAAAUGUUUCAGUGUCUCCAUGUCUCC